rnacentral:rRNA from 1 species
GACAGAGGUGCCGAGCGUUAGGCGGAAUCACUGGGCUUAAAGCGUGUGUAGGCGGACCGUUAAGUACCUUGUGAAAUCCCACGGCUCAACCGUGGAACGGCUGGGUAGACUGGCGGUCUUGAGCGGCCUAGGGGCAGAUGGAACAGACGGUGGAGCGGUGAAAUGCGUAGAUAUCGUAAGGAAGACCAGUGGCGAAGGCGGGUCUCUGGACAGUUCCUGACGCUGAGGCACGAAGGCCAGGGGAGCAAACGGG